AUUGAACGCUGGCGGCAGGCCUAACACAUGCAAGUCGAACGAGUGGAGGACGGGUGAGUAAUGUCUGGGAAACUGCCCGAUGGAGGGGGAUAACUACUGGAAACGGUAGCUAAUACCGCAUACCAUCGGAUGUGCCCAGAUGGGCUUUGCUAGUAGGUGGGGUAACGGCUAACCUAGGCGACGAUCACUAGCUGGUCUGAGAGGAUGACCAGCCACCUUGGAACUGAGACCAGGUCCAGACUCCUACGGGGGGCAGAAGUGGGGAAUAUUGGCAAAGGGGCGCAAGCCUGAGGCAGCCAUGCCGCGUGGAUGAGGAAGGCCUUCGGGUUUUAAAGUACGUUCAGCGGGGAGGCGUUACCCGCAGAAGAAGCACCGACUAACUCCGUGCCAGCAGCCGCGGUAAUUC
rnacentral:rRNA from 1 species